rnacentral:tRNA from 1 species
AAGGGUAUAGCUCAGUGGUAGAGCGUGUUCUUAGCAUGCGCAAGGUCCUGGGUUCAAUUCCCAGUACCUCCA